rnacentral:lncRNA from 1 species
CUGUAAGCAGUCUAUGGACAAGGUAUGACAGCAAUCCUUUGGAUUAGUUUCCCUGGCAGUGGCUGGCACCAAUGUUCCCUCUAAGCUGCGCAUGUGCACGGAUGUUCAGUAGACUGCCACGCAGCUCCCCGGGACUGCUGCGCAGUAGGAAUAUCAGCCCACACAUGAGUACAAAAUGUGUACAUUUCUAGACAUCUUUAAAAAGCGAGUCAGGUGCCCUGGAAGAGUUCAUCAAGAAGCUUGAUACCUUGAUAAGCUAAUGGCUCACCACUCAUCGUACUGGGCAACUUCAACCUCAGUGCUGCGAUGAAAUCCUGCGACUAGUGAUGUUUGGCAGCCCGACAACCUGCCCCCUUUCCCAUCCCUUCCUCCCUUCUCCAGACCAUCUCUGGAGACCUUCUCCCAUUCCUCACUUCCCUCAUCAACUCAUCCCUGACCACUGGCUUCAAGAUAGCCAGAGUCGCUCCCGUUUUCAAUAAAUCAAUCCACGACCCCUCAUUAAAAACUACAGACCAGUA